GCUGACUUGGUUUCCACGCAAUGAUAGAUUGUCAACCCCGCCAGGUCUGGAAGGAAGCAACGGUAACUUUUGAUUCAUGUGCCGUGUCAAGGCUAAGUCAGCACUUCA
rnacentral:SRP_RNA from 1 species